CCCUUAGAUGUUCUGGGCCGCACGCGUGCUACACUGAGUGGAUCAGCGGGUCAGGUUGCGCGAAAGCGUUUCCUAAUCUUUAAAUCCGCUCGUGAUGGGGAUUGACGGUUGCAAUUUUCUGUCAUGAACGAGGAAUACCUUGUAAGCGCGGGUCAUCAUCCCGCGCUGAAUACGUCCCUGCCCUCUGUACACACCGCCCGUCGCUCCUACCGAUUGAGUGGUCCGGUGAGGCUUUGGGAUCUGAGCGGAAAGAGCGUUUCGCUGUUUCUGCUCGGAAAACUCAGUCGAACCUUAUCAUUUAGAGGAAGGAGAAGUCGUAACA
rnacentral:rRNA from 1 species